UACGUAGGGUGCGAGCGUUGUCCGGAAUUACUGGGCGUAAAGAGCUCGUAGGUGGUUUGUCGCGUUGUCCGUGAAAACUCACAACUCAACUGUGGGCGUGCGGGCGAUACGGGCAGACUGGAGUACUGCAGGGGAGACUGGAAUUCCUGGUGUAGCGGUGGAAUGCGCAGAUAUCAGGAAGAACACCCGUGGCUAAGGCGGCUCUCUAGUACGGUACUGACGCUGAGACGCGAAAGCGUGGGGAGCGAACAGG
rnacentral:rRNA from 1 species